rnacentral:rRNA from 1 species
AUUGAACGCUGGCGGCAGGCCUAACACAUGCAAGUCGAGCGGAGCUGCGGACGGGUGAGUAAUGCCUAGGAAUCUGCCUGGUCUUGGGGGAUAACGUCCGGACGCGGGCGCUAAUACCGCAUCCUAUCAGCUGAGCCUAGGUCGGAGUAGCUAGUUGGUGGGGUAAAGGCCUACCAAGGCGACGAUCCAUAACUGGGCUGAGAGGAUGAUCAGUCACACUGGAACUGAGACACGGUCCAGACUCCUACGGGAGGCAGCAGUGGGGAAUAUUGGACAAUGGGCGAAAGCCUGAUGCAGCCAUGCCGCGUGUGUGAAGAAGGUCUUCGGGUUGUAAAGUACUGUCAGCGGGGAGGCGUUACCCGCAGAAGAAGCAACGGCUAACGCCGUGCCAGCAGCCGCGGUAAUAC